rnacentral:rRNA from 1 species
GACGAACGCUGGCGGCGUGCCUAAUGCAUGCAAGUAGAACGCUGAAGAGAGGAGCUUGCUCUUCUUGGAUGAGUUGCGAACGGGUGAGUAACGCGUAGGUAACCUGCCUGGUAGCGGGGGAUAACUAUUGGAAACGAUAGCUAAUACCGCAUAAAAUGGAUUAUCGCAUGAUAAUCCAUUGAAAGGUGCAAAUGCAUCACUACCAGAUGGACCUGCGUUGUAUUAGCUAGUUGGUGGGGUAACGGCUCACCAAGGCGACGAUACAUAGCCGACCUGAGAGGGUGAUCGGCCACACUGGGACUGAGACACGGCCCAGACUCCUACGGGAGGCAGCAGUAGGGAAUCUUCGGCAAUGGACGGAAGUCUGACCGAGCAACGCCGCGUGAGUGAAGAAGGUUUUCGGAUCGUAAAGCUCUGUUGUAAGAGAAGAACGAGUGUGAGAGUGGAAAGUUCACACUGUGACGGUAUCUUACCAGAAAGGGACGGCUAACUACGUG